rnacentral:misc_RNA from 1 species
UUGAGUGUUACAACUCCCAAACCCUUUGUGAACCUUACCACAUCGUUGCUUCGGCGGGACGCUCCGGAGGGGUGAAAACCCCCCCGGGUCACAGCUGCCGCCGAGGGCACCCAAACUCUUGUUUUCCCACAGCGAGUAUUACUUCUGAGUGGCAUAAGCAAAAAAUGAAUCA